rnacentral:rRNA from 1 species
GACGAACGCUGGCGGCGUGCUUAACACAUGCAAGUCGAACGGAAAUGCCCUGCUUUUGUGGGGUGCUCGAGUGGCGAACGGGUGAGUAACACGUUAGUAACCUGCCCUUUACCUUGGGAUAACUUCAGGAAACUGGUGCUAAUACCGGAUAGGAGCUCCUGCUGCAUGUUGGGGGUUGGAAAGUUUCGGCGGUUGGGGAUGGACUCGCGGCUUAUCAGCUUGUUGGUGGGGUAGUGGCUUACCAAGGCUUUGACGGGUAGCCGGCCUGAGAGGGUGACCGGCAACAGUGGGACUGAGAUAAGGCCCAGACUCAUACGGGAGGAAGCAGUGGGGAAUAUUGCACAAUGGGCGGAAGCCUGAUGCAGCAACGCCGCGUGCGGGAUGAAGGCCUUCGGGUUGUAAACCGCUUUCGCCUGUGACGAAGCGUGAGUGACGGUAAUGGGUAAAGAAGCACCGGCUAACUACGUG